rnacentral:tRNA from 1 species
GUUGUCAUAGCUUACCUUAAAGCAUAGCACUGAAAAUGCUAAGACGGUAUAAACCUGAUUUAACA